UAACCUCGCCCAAGAGAUCGGGAUAACACCUGGAAACAGACGCUAAUACCGGAUAACAACAGAUGAUGCCUAUCAACUGUUUAAAAGAUGGUUCUGCUAUCACUCUUGGAUGGACCUGCGGUGCAUUAGCUAGUUGGUAGGGUAACGGCCUACCAAGGCGAUGAUGCAUAGCCGAGUUGAGAGACUGAUCGGCCACAUUGGGACUGAGACACGGCCCAAACUCCUACGGGAGGCAGCAGCC
rnacentral:rRNA from 1 species